AGUGAACGCUGGCGGUAGGCCUAACACAUGCAAGUCGAACGGCAGCACAGUAAGAGCUUGCUCUUACGGGUGGCGAGUGGCGGACGGGUGAGGAAUACAUCGGAAUCUACUUUUUCGUGGGGGAUAACGUAGGGAAACUUACGCUAAUACCGCAUACGACCUACGGGUGAAAGCAGGGGAUCUUCGGACCUUGCGCGAUUGAAUGAGCCGAUGUCGGAUUAGCUAGUUGGCGGGGUAAAGGCCCACCAAGGCGACGAUCCGUAGCUGGUCUGAGAGGAUGAUCAGCCACACUGGAACUGAGACACGGUCCAGACUCCUACGGGAGGCAGCAGUGGGGAAUAUUGGACAAUGGGCGCAAGCCUGAUCCAGCCAUACCGCGUGGGUGAAGAAGGCAUUCGGGUUGUAAAGCCCUUUUGUUGGGAAACAAAAGCAGCAGGUUAAUACCCCGCUGUUCUGACGGUACCCAAAGAAUAAGCACCGGCUAACUUCGUG
rnacentral:rRNA from 1 species